UCCGGUAACUUUAGCGGCGGGGAAAUACCUGACCCCAUUCCGAACUCAGAAGUUAAGUCCGCCAGCGCCCAUGGUACUGUUACGUUAGGUGAUGGGAGAGUAGGACGUUACCGGUU
rnacentral:rRNA from 1 species